rnacentral:misc_RNA from 1 species
GAUGAAGAACGUAGUGAAAUGCGAUAAGUAAUGUGAAUUGCAGAAUUCAGUGAAUCAUCGAAUCUUUGAACGCACAUUGCGCCCGCCAGUAUUCUGGCGGGCAUGCCUGUUCGAGCGUCAUUUCAACCAUCAAGCCCCCGGGCUUGUGUUGGGGACCUGCGGCUGCCGCAGGCCCUGAAAAGCAGUGGCGGGCUCGCUGUCACACCGAGCGUAGUAGAUUUUAUCUCGCUCUGGGCGUGCUGCGGGUUCCGGCCGUUAAACCACCCUUUUAACCCAAGGUUGACCUCGGAUCAGGUAGGAAGACCCGCUGAACUUAAGCAUAUCAAUAGCGGAGGA